rnacentral:lncRNA from 10 species
UCUCAACUGUUGAGAUAUAAGGUUACCUUUCUGUCUUUGUAACUUCCAGAUCUUCAUAAAAGGAAAUCGCAAAAUUAAAAUUUCAACCAUAAAGGUGAAAGAAUUGUGUAAAAUAAGCUCUGAAGUUUCCUUAAAAUCUAACAUUUUAUAUUGUAGAUGACCAGUAGGUUUUAGAUUAUUGCACUGGAUAUUAACAUUUUAAUUCUUCCAAUUUGUUGGAUACUUAGCCGAACAAUUUAUAUUGAAAAUAACAAGAGAUUUUAAAAUCAUGUAUAUCUGACUUACCCUUUGGCUUGGAGAAACAGACACAGGUCAAUUAUAGAUUAUUCAUUUGUUAUUUUAAUUAAAUUAUAUGGACUGUGGCUUGCUAAUGCUCAAGACAGAAAAUGAAAGUGUUUUCUGCCCUUUUCCCUACACUAAGGGAUUAUUGAGAUAAUGACCUAAUAGUCUGGGUUGUGUAUAUGUCAGAAAAACUUCAUUUUAUUAAUAAGUGAUACUACAGAUACUGCCCAUUUAUUAUAUUGAUAGCAGCUGUGGAUAUGAGAAGAGUGGACCUAUAUAUGUCCAUAUAUAGGUAUAACCAAUAUAUAUGUAUAACAUAUAUAUGUCCAUAUAUAUGUAUAACCAAACCACAGGUGUUUUUUUGGAAGUCAUAUUAUACAGGGAGUUGACAGAGGUGUGAGCUGGACUUUAAGAAGCUGCACAUAAGAUGCUAGUAUGAUCAAGCUGGAAUGGACUUAGACAAUUUGAAACAACUUUUCUCAGUUUUCAGAUGAGGAAACUGACGGGUACCAAGCUUAAAUGACUUGACGAAGCUCAUAGAAGAUUAGCAGGUAGUAGAAUAAUGACUGCUGACUCCUAAUUCAGUGGAUCUUCCCUGGCCACCGUUUUGUAUUGAGCUGCAAUGCUUCCUUGACUGUUCUCCAUGCCAGAUUCUUAUCAAUGAUCUUUCACCUAAGAAACAGCAAAGAUUCUGGCAAGCACACGAUCUAGAGAUACAUCUUAUUGCGAUUUUUCACAAAAAUCAAAAGAAGAAAGAAGGCUUAGCUGGUGUUUAAUUAUUGUUAUUUUUUUCAAUAGGGAAAUCUGUACACAAUGAUUUAUCUCCAGUGAUUUGCCAUUGAUCAAUUUUUUUCUCAUUUCAUUUUCUAUUUUUUUGUUUUUUGUUUUUCUUUAUUUUUUAUUUUUUUCUCCUUUUUCUUUUUUUAAAUUUUCUGUUUAUCACAAAUGAUCAUGUAAUUAUAUGUUAAUACUAUGUAACCCCAGUGUUUUCAACUGUUUGUGAUUCAAUGUUACCCAGUUUUCUUUUCUUAAUUUUAAAUAAAUUUGAAAAAUUAUCUUAGAGUGUUUUGAGCCUGUGUUGGUACAUUUAGUUCUAGUUCAUUGUGGUAAAUCCACUUCAGUUUCUAAGUUUCCACCCUUUAGUAAAGACAUAUUUCUAAAUUUGGUUUAUAUCCUCAGUUACAAAAGAUUCUAACUGCUAGUUUUGUGACAGCAAUCACACAUACCAUCAAGGGAUGGGGCAGGCAGUUUUGGAAUGUGCUGAUGCUAGCAUUUUUAUAAGCCUAUGGCUUUUAUAGUCUAAAUUGUUCUUAUUUCUAUUAAUGCUUCAAUUUUUGACAAACACACAACCAUAGAAACAAAUAAUAAAUUUGUUUUUUGGGAAUUAUCCAGGAUUCUUGGUUAAGUGGGGAAUUUAGGCUUUGACAGCAUAAAGGAUCACGGAUAAGUAUUUUUCACGGUGGCUCUAAUUAUAAUGCUGAGCAUGUGGCAGGCACAGAAAUAUUUACUCAUUGACUGAAUAUAGCACAUCGUAAUGUUGAUUUUUUUCCAACAUAAUUUUAGAGCUAGGCAUAUUGUAUUCUAUUACACUAGACUAUAUAUCAUUCUUAAAUAGAACCAGCCUUGCUAGAUAACACAUGUUGGAGGAGAGGCCCUUCUUCUUAGCCCUCAGUGUUUCCAUCUAUGGGGAAGAAGUUCCACCAUACUAACAUUACUAUCGUCUCUCCACCUGCUCACUCACUUCUCCCCAAGGGAGGGGUGUUCGAUAUGGUUUCUGAGCUUGGAAAGAAAACUCAGGCAUGUGUAACAUGGUUCCUUCAGUCCCAUGACCCACUGUCCACAAAUGGGCUGCUCACAGAGUGCAUGCCUUCACCCUUGUUCCUGGCCAUGCAGGAAAUUGUAUGAAACAGUCCUAGCUGAAGCCUGAGAUUUUCCUGCAUUGCCUAGUCCUGGUGGGUAUCUGUCUACUCCUGGAGUUUGGAUUGGAAAGUCCACAUGCCUGAAGGUAUAAACCUAUUCUACAAAGGGGUGUUUUCUAGAAUGAAGGUAAUAUUUUUAUCUUACAUUUGCAGAAAGAGACAGAACAAUGUUAUAGGUGAGUGCAUGGACAAUGACCUCAAACAGCUAAGAUUCAAACCCCUGCGUUGAAUGAUUGAAUUGAAAUGAUUCAAUGAGCUAAUGUACAUAAAGCAUCCAGAAUGUUGCCUGGCACAAGGUAAAUGCUCUACAAAUGUCUGAUAUUAAUGUUAGCCUUUUGUUUCCCCGUUCAGUUGGUUCAGAACGUAGACAUUAUGUACUGGCUCUGCCUCACACCUCAAUAACAGAGAUUUCUUAAAGAAUAACUUAUAAACUCUUUUCAACUUCAAAUCACUCCGUGAUUAGGCUUAUCUUAUACCUUACUAGUUCUUAGCACCAGAAUUAUUUUUCCAAUUGUAGAACUAAUCAUGUUUCUCUGAAAUUCUUAAUUCGUGCAGACCUCUCAGUGGGGCUUCAAACUCUCACAGUCAGACCUCAGCAUACGUUUCCAGCCUUGUCUUCCUUACACACUGUGCUUUGGCACGAGUCUACCAUUGCUCACGGUUCCUGAAUCACAUGCAGUCUUCACACCAUGCAGCUUUGCUCUUUCUGCUUUGAGGGCUUUCCCCCUGCUCUGCUUGAUAGAUCAGAGCCCACCCUUCAUGGCCCAGCUCACAGGCCUACUCCUUUGUGAAACCUUUUCUUCUUACUCCCCAUUCAUGGAGGCCUCAUCUGUUGUGAAAGCAAAAGAACAUCUCAUUGCUGCUGUAACCCUUACUCACUUGAAUUUUAUGAAAAUUACGUGAACUCUGAGCUUCUGAAGGUCUUGGCCAGAGGGUCAGGUUCUCUUUACUUUUGUAUACUCAUCUCACCCAGCCCCUAACACAGUGACUUGCUCUUCAAUGAUUACCCAAGUAUGAGUCCAUCAAGGAAUUCUAUCAGAGUCUUUUCCAAAAUACCAACCAAACACAUCUACCUCUUUCCAUCUCCAUCUGAUCACCAUUAUCUCUGACUGGGUCUACUGUGGAAGCCUCCUAAAUUUUCUCCCUGCCUCUGUGCUGGCCCUAAUUUGGGUUAUUCCCUAAAUGGCCAUUGGAAUAAUGGAGUUAAGAUAUAAACCAAAUUAGGUUACCUCCCCACAUAAUACUGAAACCUCAAUUUUGAUCUUUCUGCACCUGCCCCUCUUUCACAUCUCAUAUUUUAUAAUCCCCCAUCUGCACCCUCACUCACUGAACUCUACUGACACUUCUCUCCUUUUCUCCUUUUGGUUUCUCAGACAGCCCAAACUUUUCUCAACCUCAGUCUCCUGCACACUCUUUUCCUUCUCCAUGAAAUGCUUAAGUCUUAACUUUUUUUUUUUUUUUUGACAGGGUCUUGCUCUGUCUCCCAGGCUGGAGUGCAAUGGCAUGAUCAAAGUUCACUGCAGCCUUGACCUCCUGGGUUCAACCAAUCCUCCUUCCUCAGCCUCUCACGUUGGUGGGACCACAGGCAUGCACCACCAUGCCCAGCUAAUUUUAAUUAUUUUUUUUUAGAGACAGGGUGUCACCAUCUUGCCCAGGUUUGUCUAGAAUUUCUGUGCUAAAGUGAUCUUCUCACCUUGGCCUCCCAAAGUGCUGGGAUUACAGGCCAUGAGCCAUGAUCUAGGCCAUGACUAGAUAUUGUUGUCCUUUAAGUUUCAGAUUACAAACCUCCUCCUAAGACACCCCGGCCCUCAGUCUAAGUUGAACACCCCCUCUGCGUAAUUCAUUAUACUGUGUAGUUGUAACCCUCAGAGCCUCAUUGUUUUUUUCACUGCAUUCAUAAGGAUUGGUAACAAUCUUUCUUCAGUGUGGGUUUUCCAAUGGUAUUAUCUGUUUUCUCCACUAGGCUAAAACUCCAUGAUGGCAGGAAUGAAGCCCAUCUUGUUAUCACUGUGUCCUGAGAAAUGAGCACAAACAGGAUGCAUGAGAGAACUGUGCUCAGUAAAAAACAGUUCACAGAUAGACUCUGAGGUCUUAAAAAUUCUCCAAGCAGAAACAGGACCCAGAGAGUACCUGGUUAAAGUCCUUCAUUUUACAAAGGGGAAAAUCAAGAUCCAGGACUUGUAAUGAGUUCUCCUAAUGCCCCAAGUCAGUGUCUGCCCAAAGGUCUCUGGUUUUUAGGGUAUCCUUCAUUAUCAAGUUCUCUUGCUUUAGGCUUCUGGAAACUAGCCAAUAACUGUAGAUUAUUAAUAAAGUAAUAUAACAGGAAAAUCAAAUGCUUCCUACACAACCUUUCACUGAGAAAUGAAAGCAAAGCCUAAGGAAAUGCCAUCUGACUAAUUUCUAACCAAUGCAAAUCUUCUCUCUUAGUCACCCCUAACAAAAAUGUCAAUGUUCUAUAAGCACAGUGAGAGGUGCCAAGGCCCAAGGCAGCUUUUUAGAUCUGCUCUGCCUCACAGAAGGGUCUAGGAUCUACUGCACAGUGGAGUGGCUCAGAGUUGCACUUGUUUAUUGGGCAAAUAGAGAAAAUCCAGAACCUUCAACAAACACCCUCUUUCUUCUAUGCCGUGGAGGGUUUUCUACCAUUAUCUGUGGCAUAUUUGUUAAUUGGUUGCCUUUAUUCAUGUUCCUGCUUCUUUUCCUCUUCAAGCCUCAAUGUUGUCAUCUCUAAAAUAGAGUGAUUGAUAUUGGCAGUCUUUUUAGCCUUGGCAUUCUUUGACCAGGAUUCUCCAAACAGAAACAAGAUCUAGAGAGUACCUGGUCCUGUUUCUGCUGUACAGUUAGUUCUCAACUUCAAAGGAUAAAUAUGAUUUGCUGAGCACAUUACUUAGGAUCUACCAUGCAUGGGAAAUUAGAUAAUCAUUUCAGCUCCUAAUUGCAUCCUCUAUUGUCCUGAGCAAGUAUAAGAUGCUGGUGAAUCCUGGAGCUAACACUUAGGUUUUCUGUUCCUUAGGACUGUAUUGUCUGCUAGACCAUUUAUUCAAAGUGGGAGGAUGAUGUUCUAAAAGCCAAUGAUAAAGCUCAUGGCAAUGCAGGGUAUAUCUGAUGGCAUGGAAUGCUUUAGGAUGGCCAAGAUUGCCCAUCAAAUGCCAAGUCACCGAAGGUACUCAUUUAUUCUAAAAAUAUCCACUAAGCAACCCUUUCUAAUAUGUGUUGUUCUAGGUUCUGGGAAAUAAGAAAUCAUUAGAAAAAGAUUUCUGCCUUCUAGAAGUACACAGUCUAAUGGUGAGAUAGGCAGGUAAGCUAUUACAACACAGUGAGAUAUGCACACGAGUAAAGCUGUUUUUCUUUGGUGUGCUCACAGUAAAGGGUAUAACUAACUCCAUCUGUGGGCUUCAGAAAGGGCUUCCCAGAGGAGGAUAUUUGAACUAGCUCUUGAAGGAUGAGAAAGAGUUUGCUUCAUAGAGAUAAAGGAGAGGAUAACAGCAGGUAGCAAAGCAGCAGUACACAAAGGUACUGAGUCCAGGCCUGGUCUCCUUUGGAAAUGGAGGAGGAGUAUAAGAGAAUUUUGUGGUAACAUCAGUAAGGAAAAAGAUGAAGGAGGGAGAGUAGAAAUGAGGCUGGAUGGGCGGUUUUGGAGGCCAACUGAGGAGGGUCUUACAUGCUAUGUUAACAGGCCUAGACUUCAUUCUAUAUGCAAACAGGGAGAUCCGGACUAAUGAGGGGUAUGUGUGUGUCCUUGUAUGUGCAUGUGCACGAAGGUGACAUAAUCAGGUAUGACUUUUAGAUGAUACUUGGUGACAAAGGAAGGGUGGAGAAUGUAAACUAGAGAAGCCUGGGAUAAUAUGGCUGCUUGGGAAUGGUGAGAAUUCUGGCAGCUGCAUUGCUGAUGAGUAAAGUGGAGGGAAGCUUUGGAAAAGUGUUUAGGGCCAAUCAGUAGAAGGUCAUACAUUCAUACUAAAGGGUUUGUUUCAAUAAGUAUAGCUAAAGAAUCCCACUCAUAGCUUUUUUUCCUGUGGUUUACAUGACAGUUAUUAAUGGCUCUCCUACUAGGAGCCUGACAUCAUGGUGAGCAUCGAGAAAGGAAUAACCUAAGCUGAAGACACGCCUUUUCAGGAGGCCAAGUUCCACGUUCUGUGCAUGCUUUUGGCGAAAGUCAGGUAAAGCCUCCAGAAAUGCAUGGUCUAUUCUCUCGGACCAUAUGGCUGUGGGCAAACUCUGGCUUCUUGGAGCCUCCAUUAGCCACCUAGGGAAAGGUAAUUGGCUUUAUGUUUGGCUCCAUCACUGCUGGCGACAAGCUCCACUGCAUUCUCAAGCAGUAGAUGAAAUACAACUGUGCUCCUGAAUGCAGCAAAGGAAAGAGAACCCAACUGGACCAGUGUGAAAUUGGGACCUUUGGAGGCAAGAAUGCACAUAUUUAUAAAUGAAUAAACAUAAUUUUUCUCUCUUCUUCCCAUUGGCAGCAUAUCUGAAGGCCCUGACUCAACAGUAGUGGGUCUUAAUGCUUGUGCUUGUCCACCCUUCUCGGCAGUGAUUGAUUUCAUUGUUGGCUUGUUUUCAUGACUUGAAUGUGCGAUCUUCAGAGGGCCUAAUUCCUUGCAAGUUCCAUUUGAGGGUGGAAGAGCUAGAACAAGCUAUAACCAGUAGACAACUCCGUGACUCAGGAGCUUAAGCAUGUGACUAAUUAGUAAGAAAAAAUGUGGUGAAGAUUUGUAGUUAAUAAGAAGGAAAGAAGAAUCACUGGGGCUAGAAUUAUGCAAGCUUUUGUUUCCUUUUGGGACUAUAUCAGAACUAUGAGAGAAGAAAGGCUACCUUUUACCUUUGAGGAAUUUUCAAAGCCUUUUUUUUUUUUUUUGGUUGGUUUGUGACUGACAAAGGGCACAAUUUCAACACCUCAGAAAAAUGCCUCAUCAUUUCCUCUUGUGAAAUCUGGGUGCUUCUGAAUGAAUCCAUGUUAGGAAUGUGUACUUCCAUCCAUUAAAGUCAAUGUCCAGUCUCAUUUUGGGCCAGAGGCUGUUACUAAGUUGUAGUACUGGUGAGAAAAGGACAGAGCAUUUACCUUCCCUGGGUAUCCUGUGACCUACAUGUGUCCUUGCAAGGCAGGGAAAUGUUACUAAUUAAGAGCAUAGCCUUUCGUCAGAUGGGUUCAGAUCCUAACACAUCCUCUUUCUGGUUACAGGACAGUCCUCUCUGAGCCUCAGUUUUCUCAUCUCUAAGAUGAGGCUAAUUAUACCUACUUCCCAGGGGGGUACUAAGGAUAAAGUAACAACACAAGAAAAUUUUUUAUCCUUGAUUUUCUUAGCUGGAAAAUUAGGCUAGAAAGACCUCCAUCCUUGGGGUAUUUAAAAUAAAAGGACAAACAUAUGAUGAGUCUAAGUGAUCAAUACAUUGUGGCUUUUGUACUUACUAUUCUGAAACAUGGGUGUGGCCUAGAUACUUUCCAAAAUUCUGCCCUCUCCACCUAGCAAAAUGACAACCAGACUUACAGAUAUGCCAACAAGCUAGUGUUUAAUAAUGGUGUUUGAUGAUAAAUGGCAUUUCUUUUCGACAUUUGUCUCUUUUUAAAACUUGGUGCUCUUAAAUGCAUCAUUGGAUAAGUGAUGACUGUUCCCAUUCGCAAGAAGAGACCUGGAAUCUAAGCAUGAAGGACCUGUCCUGAUGUUGAGAAGUGUGGAUCACAUUUAUUUGUAAACUUAGCUUCUUGCUCGUCUCAUGGUUGCUUUUUUUUCUUUUUCCUUUUUCUUUUUUUUUUUUUUUUUUUUUUUUUUUUUUUUGAGAGGGAGUCUCACUCUGUCACCCAGGCUGGAGUGCAGUGGUGUGAUCCCGGCUCACUGCAACCUCCACCUCCCGGUUUCAAGCAAUUCUCCUGCUUCAGCCUCCCCAGAAGCUGGGAUUACAGGCACGUGCCACCAUACCCGGCUAACUUUUUUUUUUUUUUUUUUUUUUUUUUGGGAUUUUUAGUAGAGAUGGGGUUUUGCCAUAUUGGUCAGGCUGGUCUCGAACUCCUGACUUCGUGGUCCGCCCACCCGCCUCAGCUUCCCAAAGUAUUAGGAUUACUGGCGUGAGCUACCGCGCCUGGCCUUAUGGUUUUUCUCAUUUUUUCUUCCCUUCCUCCCUCGAUUCCUUUGUUCCUUUUACUCUACCAUGCCUACUGUAAAGAAUAAACAAUAGAUUGGAUCUACUCUCAAGAUGCAGGAUAGAGAAAACCAUCAUUUAUUAAAUGGCAUCUACACCGCAGGCUUUGUACCAGGCACACACUCCACUGUUCCCAGUUAUCCCUUACUGCACCCCUAGAGGUAUAUGUUUUCCCAGAAAAGAUAAACAAGUUGCCCAAAGUCACAUAUCACAUAGCUAGCAAGCGAACAUGGGGCUGAAAUAAAACACUGCCCAAUUCCAAAAUCCAUAUACUUGUUUCUUCAUGUUUCCCUAUGAAAAUGGCAAAGGUGAGGAGUGUGUGGUGUGUGUGCGUGUGCGCGUGCAUGUGCGUGUGUGUUUGCACAUGGAAAAUUCCAAAUAUCACAACUUCUCUAUAGACACUAGACUCAUUCUUUGGCUAUGGCUGUGUCCGUUAUCCCAAACUCUAUCUUUACCCCAGUUUUUACACUUGCAAAAGUAGAGAAACUUUAAGGUCCACCAGCUUUUACUAACCUCCCUCUUGCUCUGAUAGCUGUGUAAUAAUUUUUGUAUCCUUCCCAGUGGGUUCCCAGUCUUUUCAUCUGCUAGGACCAUCUGGUAACUCAUCACCAAACAUGGUGCCUGACAGCAUCACUGGUGCCCUGCAAAUGUCCACCUGAUAAAUGAGUGAAUUAAUGAAUGAAUAAGAAAAUGAAGGAUACUGGCUGCCCCUGGCCAACUAUAUCUUGGCUUUGGCUUGUCAUUCUAGAUUUGUGAUACUGGCUUCUAGCAGAAGCUUAAAGCCUCUUUUUUGUUCUUUUGUUCCUCUAAUGUACUCCCCCUGCCCCUCCACCAAGAUGGGAAGGAGGGCUGAUCUGAGCAUUCAGGUUUCAGAAUGCUAAUUGGAUAGCAGCCAAUUAGAAGUAGAUCCGUAAGGAUUUAAUUAGACUUUCUGGGUAGAUUUGGAUAUUGCUUUCAAAAUGAAAAGGCCCCAAAUCCAGGUUCCCCUGGAUUAUAAUAGUUUUAUGGCUCUGCCCUGCUUUAAUUUGAGGCUAGUUGGCAAUACCCUGUCCAGGAAAAAGGAAUCUUCCAUGUAGUCCUGUCUGUUCUACUGAGGUCUACAUUUGGGUUUUAGCAAACAAUUCAGCUAAUAUAUAUUAUUUUUCUUUGUUCUCAAGGAUUUAAUGGCAAGAUGCCAUUAUAGACAAGAACAGGAUUCAGACACUUUCGUGUUAUGUGUUCUUGUCCAAAUACUGUGUCACUCUGCACUGGCAUCCCAAUCCCACCAACACCUUUAGCAGGAACUUCCUGUUUCAAUAACAUUUCUCAAUACUCUACCUGAUUGCUUAGAAUCCAUGAGACAGCCAUAUUCUCCAUGUCUAGGUCCCUAUCUUAUUUUUGUUGAGAUGGUGUUAAGACUUUAUUUGUGAGGCUUCUGGGGAAGAGGAGUAAGGUAUUGAUCCCACUGACUGGAUAAUUUGGGUCUCAAAAUGGAUAAUAAAUAAGCAUUACAUAUUUUGACCACUUCCUUGGAGGAGAACUUCUUGGAAUGUGCACCAUGUCCGCUGCACUUUUUUUGCACAGAUAUCUAAGUUGGAGAAACAUACUACUAGAUAAAUCAAUUUGUUCUCUUAGUACUCAUGAUAUGGUUCCUGGGAACUUCUGAUUCACCAAAUUAAUCUUGGCCAGGUACAUACCUGGCAGGAAUCCAAAAAUUCCCCAAGUCUCCUUGAAGUUCAGGAUCAUCAUUCUUAAUAAAUACACCGAGGGAAAAACCAUGGAGAGUUUGUCCCAGAUGCUGUGAAUCUGGCCCGGGGUACAUGAAGAAGUCCUUAAUUGCAGUCAUUUACAUGGUAGAUUCUCUAUAAUCAUUUAAUUUGCUAUAGGUCUAUGAUUUUUAGUCCUUCUUCUCUAAAUGAUUGAACAUGUAUAAUUCCCAUUUCAAUCAUAUUACCUGGAUGAACAAAAGUAACGCUAGACUCAUUCAUGCAUUCUGGUUGCCAAGGAAAAGGAAAAAAAAAACAAAACAAUCAACAGGAUGUUUAAACUGUCUUAGGGCAACUUCAGGCCAUAGUCACUGGUGUUCUUGCAGACUAUGAGAUAUUUUACAUUCUGAUAAGGGAUAAAAAUUCGUGCCUCACAUGGCUCCCAUCACACUAAGAUCUUGCAACAAUAACACUACUGAUUCAGACAUUAAUCUUAAGUAUCCAGGGAGCCCUAAAACAUUGUAUCCCACUAGCAAGGACCAUGGUAAUUGCCACGUAAAUCCCCUCCAUUAUGUGGCCCUUAUUAUGACCAGCCAGCCAAGGCUUGCCUUUAAAUCAUACCAAUUGAACCGAGCCUUGUAGAAACACUAUCACCUACGCAUACCUCUGCUUCUUUUCAUUAACCUGCUAUCCUCUUUACAAAUGGGAUUCUUCACCCACUCCCUUCUUCUAGAUUAGCAAUGCCCUGUUAAGUAAACGAACACGAAAUUCAAAGGGAAACAGGAGCAAUCAUCAUUACCAGCUGCCGUGUUAAGCAUUGCGAAAACGCUCACGAUUCACAGAAAAAUCCAUGCUGUUCUUUGAAGGCAUUCAAGCCUUAAUAGCUAGCUGGAUGAAUGUUUAACUUCUAGGCCAGGCACUACUCUGUCCCAACAAUAAGCCCUGUACAUUGGGAAAGGUGCCGAGACAUGAACUUUGGUCUUCUCUGCAAUCCAUCUGGAGCAUUCACUGACAACAUCGACUUUGAAGUUGCACUGACCUGGCCAGCCCUGCCACUUACCAGGUUGGCUCUGUAUGGCUAAGCGUUUUCUCCUAAAAUCCCUUGAAAACUGUGAGAAGACCAUAAGAAGAUCAUAUCUUUAAUUCUAUUUCACAAGUCACACAAUAUUCCAAUCAAAUACAGAUGGUUGAGAAAAGUCAUCCAUCUUCCCUCCCCACCCUCCCACAGCCCCUCAACCACUGCCCUGAAACUUAUAUGCUGUUAUCCGCAGCUCCAUCUGGAGCAUCACAGCUACUGUCAACCCUGACGCUCUUUCUGAAAAAACACCGGAUGGACAUCAGAACUAUUUCUUUAAGGAUGUUACUGAGCCACACAGGAAAACUUGCCUUAUGAUUUUGAAUGCACGGAUCUGAUUUGACUAAACAUGAUAACUAGAGAAUCACCCAAUCUACUCCCAUUUUCAACUCUAAAUCAUCAGAGUGUCUCAAAUCCAAAGCACACACAGACCAGCCUGGCCAACACGGUGAAACUCCACCCCUACUAAAAGUAUAAAAAUUAUCCAGGUGUGGUGGCGGGCGCCUGUAAUCCAAGCUACUUGGGAGUCUGGAGGCAGGAGAAUCCCUUGAACCUGGGAGAUGGAGGUUGCAGUGAGCAGAGAUCACACCACCGCACUCUAGCCUGGGCCACAAAUCAACAACAACAACAACAACAAAAAACAAAGCGCACACAGAGACUGAGGUCCUCUUUGGCAUUGAGAAGAUGGCUAUGCAAGUCCCAACUAGCAAGUGCAAACUUCCCAGCUUCACUUCUGCCAGUGUCCCUUCACCCCUUCUCAACCCCACUGGGAGGCAGGAGGGUGCUUGACAAUAACAGCCUUGGCAUCACUCUGCCAGGGUGUAAUAGGAACUGUUACAAUUCUGAGAUUCUGUGUAAGCACUGGCCUUUCUGCCUAGAAUGCCUUCUCCUCUCUUUUUUAACUGCAUGCUCCUAUUUAUCUUUCAAAGCCCGGAAAAAAUAACACUGCACACGGGAAAUGCUCCCUUCCUACUGCAGUCAUUUAGAUGACUCUAUGCCAUUCCAUUCAUUUCUCUUUCCUACCACAGAAGUGCUUUGAGAUUUUGGAGUCAGACUGCUUGAACUUGAAUCCUGGCCCUCUCAUCAGAGACUUGACUUAUUUUAGGCAAGUUAUAUAACCAAUUUUACCUCAGUUCCUUACCCAUAAAAUGGGUCUAAUGAGAGUACCUACCACACAGAAUUUUGAUGAAAACUGAAUGAGAUGAAGGCCUUUAAGGCAGUGGUCCCCAACCCUGGGGACACAGACAGGUACCAUUUUGUGGCCUGUUAGGAACUGGGCCACACAGCAGGAGGUGAGCAGUGGGUGAGUGAGAUCAGCGUUAUUUACAGCUGCUCCCCAUUGCUCACCUUACUGCCUGAGCUCCACCUCCUGUCAGAUCAGCAGUGGCAUUAAAUUCUCAUAGCAGCACAAACCCUGUCAUGAACUGCACAUGCGAGGGAUCUAGGUUGUGCGCUCCUUAUGAGAAUCUAAUGCCUAAUGACCUGUCACCGUCUCCCAUCACCCCUAGAUGGGAGUGUCUAGUUGCAGGAAACAAGCUCAGGGCUUCCACUGAUUCUACAUUAUGGUGAGUUGUAUAAUUAUUUCAUUAUAUAAUACAAUGUAAUAAUAAUAGAAACACAGUGCACAACAAAUGUAAUGUGCUUGAAUCAUCCCCAAACCAUCCCAGUCCACGGUCUUCCACAUUUUGUCUUUUCACAAAAUUGUCUUCCACAAAACUGGUCCCUGGUGCCAAAAAGGCUUGGGACCACUGCUUUAAAGCCUUUGCAUAGUGCUUAGAAUUGAGGGGGAAAAAAAAAACAAAAACAAUGUAGCUAGUUGCUACAAUCACUAUAUUGGUGAGUUUCAAAAGGAAAAGAAUUCUGUCCCAUUUAUGCUUGAGCCUUGAGUUGCUAACCAAGCCUGACACAAAAUUACUGUUGAAGGGAUGUGUGAGUCCUAAUUGAAAUGAGGCCUCUUAAGGGAAUUGUGGACCAAACCCCAAGCAGGCAGAAAGCCGUAUCUUAAUUAUUGCAAGUAUUUCAGGCAAGGUGUGGAUGGCCAUUUGAAUUCAAGCAGACUAGGACCUGGGAUGAGAAAGAAGGUGUGUACGUGACUUGAUCUUUGAACUUUAGCUCACCAUCUGGAAGAAGGCUGAGUAUUCUCUGCACUCACAUAGUAGCUAAUGCCUACUCCCCAGCCACCCACAAUUCUUUCUGUAGGAAGGCUCGCUAGAAUACUUUGUGAUAUUGGAUAUUAGUUCCAUAUUCUACUGUGUAUCUUAGUUCAACCAAAUUGUAAUCAUCUGAUAUUUAUUUCUUUUAAUAUAAAUAUAAGUAUAUUAAGUCUUGGCAUGCUUGCUCAGUCUCUCUCUCUCUCCCAUUCCUCCCCGCUCCCCUCUCUCUUUCCCAACAGGCUUGGAAAGCAGGCAUCACCAUGCCUAUUUAACAGUUGGGGUCCCUUGGCCACCAGGUGCUGGAGUAGGAAUCUGAGCCCGGACAUGCCUGAUCUGUAAAUUUUGUGUUUUCCCCACUGUGCUGGGCAGAUCACAGCUAUCAGCGCCAAAUUCAUAGAAGGGGCGCCCCCUGUGGUCAAUUGAGGGAUUUGUGUUUGAGGUAGAUCUCAAGAAGGAAUGGGUGGGGAACUUAGCCUAGGACAGAGCAGAAAGGAGCCCUCACUCCCCAAGCACCAACGGCCUCAGUCCUUCCUGCUGACUCCAGCCUCUAGCUCUCACCCAGACUAUCUGCAUCCUUCUCUCCACCACGCUCCUUUGGAACCUGCGUAAAACACAGAUUAAAGGAAUUCCGCCUUACUUCCCUUUCCGCAUUAUGACCAAAUGGUUUUACACUAUCAUUGAACAGUUUAGUACAAAACAUGCCACCUUUUAAUCUAUUCAUUCAUUUAACAAAUACUUUGGAGUGUUUACCAUGUGCCAAGUGCUGUUCUAAUAGACAUAAGCUGUGAGGUUAUGCUUAUCUGAUUCUCACAGCAACAGCUUUCGAGAUAUGAAUUGGUAUACUCAUUUGACAGAUGAGGAAAUUGAAUUCAUGUAGUGAGAAAGGAAGAGCUGCAAUUCAGGGUUACUGGUUUCUCCUGCACUAAGCACUGAGCCACACUAGAAGAGAAGGCAUGAGGAAGACAAAAGUGAGAAGGUACGAGAGAAGAUAUUAAGUAGAGGUCUAUUAGUUCCUCUUAAAACUAUUUAUGAAAGAGGCGGAUGGGGUAGUGGAUGGGAAAGACAGAUGGAUUCAUGUUCUUCACUCCAGGUUUCCCCCCAUUCCCUUCCCUUUUAAAUGCCUGCUCAUUUUUUGGCUACCUUUCAAGCUCUAGGAAAUACUCUGGAAUUCCAGGCUGGGAGGGGUUUCCUUUGCAGAUCUGGCUAUUGUAACUUUACAAGAAAUUGCUCAAUACUUCCUCUCACCAGUUACAAACCACGGUUUUCUGAAUGAACUUUAUGUUCAUUAAACAGUUAACCCUUCAGCUUUCUGACUCACAUUUUUCAUGUUAUUAAUCAGCUCUUAGAGUAAGGUAAAAUCUAGAACAGACUUUAUAUACACCCUCCCUCCCACACACAUAUACAUACAUAAUACAAACACAGACCACACAUGUCCACAUCCUUAUGCGCAAACACUAAGAAACACACGCAUACACAAACAUACAUGUACACAAAAUUAAAUACAUAGCUAUGGCACUUUCACUAUACAUGUAAACACCCUUACACACAUACAAAUGUACAUGCGCGUGUGCGCACACACAUAUGGAAUUAGCUUUUUCUCUUUGUGGGAGGAGGGAAAUGAAAAGACCCAAAACAUUCAGAUUCCCAAAUGGACACGUAAGAACCCCGUCAUGGAAAUAGGUCUGGGUUUUUUUCUCUUUUGAGGGAAGCAGGGCGUUUCUGGUUACUGUCGCCAUUGCCAUUGUGCCCCUGCUUACCAUCCCCCUGCACCGCCCCCCCGGCCCCCGCCCGCCACUGCUAGGGUUUACAGGUCAUCCCUGGAUUAAAUAAGUGAUAUUGUGUUUUUUUUUCUUUGACACAAAGUAAAAUUAUAAUUAAUAUUGAAUAAAGUAAAAAUGAACUCCUGAGUUCCAGUCCCUUAUGUAACACACCUGGUUUGUGGCAGGCACUCAGGAAAUAUUAGUUGCAUGAACGAAGGCUGCAUUUUCAUUAGAACAACAUGCAGUUCAACCCCUUCAUGUUUCAAUGAGGGUUCAGAUACCCAGAGGGCUAUGCUAUCAUCCUGGAGCCCACUCUGCUAACAAUUAGCAGAACGGAAGCCUUAAUUUCCAGAUUCUAGUGAACUUGAUGAGUCAAGACUAUUGCAAUUGGAAAUCUGUUCUCCUCUGCUGCUGCAUUCCCUGCUUAAUACUCAAGCCAGAAACCAGGAAGGUAUGUGCCACAAAGUAAAGUGGGAUUCAGGACAAUUAUCCAUCAAGACUUUGUUACAGAUAUCCAAAGCAGGCAAUUCAAGACCCAGCUUGACUUUACUGUCUCCAUUGUGGUGGUUAAUGGAGACAAAUUCAAUUCAAAUAUGUGCACGUGGAUUUCUUUGUUUCUCUGAGGUUUGACUUAUCUGCCAAAAGAGAGAAACACAGAAAGAGGGGAGAAACAGGAGAGGGGAAAGAGAGAGGAGAGAGAAACCAAGGAAAUGUGACAUAUAAUAAUUUUUUAAAGAAUAUUUUUUCAUUUUUUUAUUGAGGUAUAAAAUACAUGUAGUAAGGUAUGUCAAUAACUCAAAUCUUAUGUGAUUUUUUUAUGUACAUGUAUACCUGUGUACACCUGUGUAACCACUACCUAAGUCAAGAUAGAGAACAUUUUAAUCAUCUUAAAAGAUUUCCUGUGUCUCUUCCCACCAAUACCUGCUGAUGAGCCCACUCUCCUUACAGCUAUCAGCAGAGUUGUUUUACCUGUCCUUGAACUUAAUAUAAAUGUAAUUAUACUGUAUAUGCUCUUUUGUGUCUGAUUUCUUUCACCCAACGUACUUGUUGGUUUAGUCCAUGUUGUGUAUAUCAGCAGUUUGUUUUUGUUAAGUAGCAGUGUUCCAUUGUAUAAAUGGACCAUAUUUUAUCCUUCAUGUUAAUGAACAUUUGAAUUGUUUUCAUGUUCUUGUUAUGAAUCAACAUGGUUAUGAAUAGUUUGGUUAUGAAGAGUUUUACACAUGUUUUUAGUCUAUUUUGUUUCUCUUAAAUAUAUACUUAGUCACGGGAUUACUGGUCAUAUAGUAUAGGCAGGCAGAUGUUCAGCUUUAAUUGACACAACCAACUGUUUUUGAAAGGGGUUGAG